GAAGGAGGUGCGGGACAAACUUCUAGAAGAGUCUGUUGUCACUGGUGUCCGUAGCUCAAGUAGGAGAGAUGAAUCUGUCAGGCAAAAGAGAGCUGAUCACCGAAAAUACUCUGCAGGGCGAUCCGCCCCAAGCACGUCUCAGCCUAGUUCGGUGUCAGUAACUCGGAUCCAACCAGUAGCAGCCUCUGGAAGCAGAGAGACGUCCACUACUCC